rnacentral:lncRNA from 1 species
GGUGUGGAAAGCUGCGCUCAUACCAGGACCAAGACUAGAACAAAGGAUAAAUGAAGGGAAGAAACAACCUCAGGAAUGCUGGUGCCAGGGCAUGAGUUUCCUGGAGCUGAUCCUGAAGGAAAUGGGAAGCCACUAAAAAUGAGGCAGUGGGGGAGGGGCAAAUUAACAGCAGGUUGGCAGGAAGGGUGGCAUGGUCGAAUUUAAUUGAAAGAGACUGAGAGGCCUGCUAGUCCUCUGGAGUUCGUGCCAAAUGUGAUGAUUUAGCAAGACGGGAGACGACUGUACACUGCCAGGAAGUGUCUCGGCGGCGGCAGCAGCUGUGUCCAUCCUCUGGACAAACUCGACAAUAGACCCAUCUUGAACAUCCUCGCCAUCUUGAAAAUCCCCUGACCCUGCCAGAAUGUCGUUUCACAGUUAAUUCUGUUUCAUCUUCCCGGUGUUUCUAAGGAGAAGCUAAUGGGCAUUGCCGCUCCCACGCACAUAGAACGCCACAAGCUUCCAACUCGGGACUUAGAGGACUCAAGCUGGGUCUAAUCAGGAAGCCUCCUCCUUGAGGACUAGAUCUCGUAGCACCAGAAAGUACCAGAAGAAGCUGCCAAGAGAGAAAAGCAAUGGCUCGUCCUACCCAACCCCAAAGCCUGCAAACCACAGCAGUGACCACCAUGGCCAGAGGUCCCCAAGGGCAGUCCUUAUAUUCUGAGGACAACCAACAACCAUCUAACUGGAUGUAAGACCCACUUGACAAGAGGGAAACCAUGACUGGUCCUGUAACUCAGCCAACCAUUGGCUUGUGGCUGGUGAGUUCAUGCGUCU